rnacentral:tRNA from 1 species
GCUUUUGGUUCAGUGGUAGAAUGCUGGCCUGCCAUGCGGGCGCCCCGGGUUCGAUUCCGGGCAGAUGCA